UCCAAGGACAUGUUGACCGUAUUUCACAUUUGGUCAAACACUGAAUUGGUGACACUUAUCUUGGGCGCCCAUCUUGAAACUGUGGGGAUUGUUUCGAUCUUCUGUGCUGCUGAGUUGAAGAUGUGUGUAAAAGCAUCCAUGUUUUG